GCGUGUGAGUGGUGAUCGGAUGGCGUGGGUUUGCAGGCUCCUUGCUUGUGCAUCGAACUGUAAGCUCUCCUUCCUCUUCAUAGUUUUCCCCAAGCAUGCUUGCCGUCUUGCGGGUUCAAUCGGUAUCCUGUAUUGUUUACCAAUACAACGGAAUUUGAUGGUUCGGACGCUUACAUCCAUUCGGCACCCGUUAGGGUGUUGGGUGGACAACGGCUUGGCCUCGUGUUCCCGGCACGCCUUGCCUUGUUGUUUGGCUGCCGCGGUGCAUGGGGUUGUGCCCGUUCUCUCGGAUGCGGAUCGUUGCCUGUGGGCUGGGGGUUACGGCCUCCAUCUGCCCGCGCUAUGCAUUUGUCCCUUGACACGAACGACUGCCGCACUCGUCUUGGUUGGAGAGUUGCACGGCUCUCCGAGGGCCCAUGCGGGUGUUGGCGUCGUUUAGGAAUGC
rnacentral:misc_RNA from 1 species